UCCGCGGGGAGGGGGCCAGGGCCGGGGUAGUGGGGCGGGAGGGCGCCCCGCGGGCACCUCGGUGUGGCUGAGCGUCUCCCCUGCUCUCUGGGUCCCGGGAGUUCCCUCGCUGUGUGACCCUCAGCAAGUGUGCGCACCUCUCUGAGCCUCGGCAGCCUGUAGCAAAAUGGAGGAGCUCGUACCGGCUGUGAGACAAAAUAGGAGCGGCAAAGGGUAGCGCUUAAGCGCAAGGACUGGAGUCCUCACUCCGCCACCGGCUAACUUCGGGAAACUAGCUGUACUGAUAGAACCACCUCAUAGGUUUGUUAUGAAGAUUAAGUGAGUUAAUAUUUGUAAAGUGUUUAGAACAGCUUCUGGUACGUGGUAAGUGGUAUUUAAGUAUUGGUUAGACUACGGGAGGUCUCGCUGCGCGAUUUUCUCCCUUCCCCUCUCCACCCCCACAUUCCUGUUUGUAAGCCAAGCCUUGCUUUAGCACAGGCUGGGCCCUCUGCCUGGAAAUCCAUGCCCACCUCUUCUCUGCACUUUAAUAUCCCCCCUCUGUGAAGCCUUUCUCCACUCCUGACAGUACAUGUGACUCUAUGGUGACAGGUAAGUGUGAAAAAUAUGAAUGGUAGGAACAUAGGAGAACUUGGGUUUGAACCAGCUCCACUGUAGACCAGUCCUCGAGAUCCUAGGCAAGGUGCUGGCCUAUGAGGCUCAGCUUUCUUCUGGGUUAAACGGAAUGAACAUGACCACCAACUUCAUGUGCUGUCAUGAGAGAUACAAUGUCCAGAUAAGCUCGUGAAAUACUUAGCACAGGCUUAACUCGCGGUAAGUCCCCCUUUAGUGGUAGUGGUAUUACUUCACCUUAUUUCAUCUGAUUUCACUUCGUUUCUUCUUCUAGACCUGUGUCUUACUCGAGACACAGUGAAAGGAAAGACCCCCCAGUCCAAAGGUCUGGACAAAAUGCUGAGACUGAGCAUCUCGAGGAUGGCUUCUGUAGCUGAGACACAGGGGUGAAGGAGUGAAGGAAGAAGGCAGGAAUGAAUGACCAUAUGAGCAGCUAGUCUGCCUGUUUCCUGCCAACACCAGUGUUCCCUUAAGUACUUUUUGGGUUUUGCCACGUCCCUGCUCAAAGUCUCUCCAUCACUCCCUGUUUCCGAGCACAUCCAGUCCACUGCAUAUGUCUCCUCCCAGCUGUGGGUACACCCCACCCAGCUCAUGGGGCGUACUCACCAUCAGGCUCCCUUUCCUUCUCCAGGCCAGUCCUGUGCUCGCCACUUCCCCAGGGACAGAGGCAGGCAAGCCUGUUGCUAGCCUUAUGGAGCCCCCAAACUGGAGAGGAUGAAGCGGCGAGAUGCACAGCAACAGUACCAAGCUGGGUGUGCAUGGUUAAGAAUGUGUAUGGGAGGGGCUUCCCUGGUGGCACAGUGGUUGAGAGUCCGCCUGCCGAUGCAGGGGACACGGGUUCGUGCCCUGGUCCGGGAAGAUCCCACAUGCUGCGGAGCGGCUGGGCCCGUGAGCCAUGGCCGCUGAGCCUGCACGUCCGGAGCCUGUGCUCUGCAACGGGAGAGGCCACAACAGUGAGAGGCCCGCGAACCGCAAAAAAAAAAAAAAAAAAAAAGUGUAUGGGAGAGAACUUGUACCACAGAGGAAGGAGAGGGAGUGGAGAGAGCUUCAGGAAAGGGAGAGGGCAGGCUGAGCAGGGUUUAGAAGGCUGAAUAUGAGUUCACCAGGUGGGUCAGAGGGAAGGCCAUCCUUGGCAAGGGGAAGAACAUGUGCAAAGACAGCAGACAGGCAGAGAGUGACUGCUGAAGGGGAGAAAGAAUCUCUAGACCACACUCAGAGACUGAUGGUGGAGCCCUGGAUUUGGACUCCUGAGUCCCAGCUCUGCUUUUUACUUGUUAUCACCAAGCAAAUCCUUUCUCUUUUCUGAGCCUCAAGACUCACAUCUAUAAAAUGGGUGUAACAAUCCCCUCCUGACUUGGCCAGAGGAAAAACGGAUUAUGUGUAAAAGUUUAUCCAAAUAAACAGUACUAAUUCAUGAUGUCGGAAGUCCAAUCAAACCCCCUUCCUAUGGUCAGGGUGGGACUUGAAGACAGAGCAGAGUGGCUAGAAAAACAGCUUUACCUUCGCCCUCCCCCAUCAUACCUGCCCCAACAGACUCCCAUUAACUGCUUGAAAUUGCAUUUCUAGAUGUUCUUUGUGUAAAAGCUUUAUGAUCCCUGGAGGGUACAGUAUAGAGGUAAAUUCAUCAGAAGCUAUCGACAGUGAUCAGAUAUUAGAUUCACAGGUGGGCUAGUUUAGUUUUUGGAUGGCUGAGUCCUGGGCAACCGGAUUUAACUGCAACCAGAGAGGAAGCACCAGAGAAAGCCUAAGGAAGUGAGCCUGGAAGUUUGGGAUGCCUGGGAAGAGAGAGCGAAUGCCCAGAGCGGGCUCAUGGAAGUGCCGCUUAAGCCAGAGAGCCAGGCUAAGUAGCCCCGGCGGCGGGAGUGCAGGGGAUUGGGAGCAAGAAGAGAUGAAGUUAGGGGGAAUUUGAUGGGAGAAGAAGCUGAGGAGGGGUCAAAUGCCAGGUAUAGGAGUUAGGGCUUUAUUCAGUGGGCAGUGGGGAGCCAUGGAGGGUUUUUGAGCGGGGAAGGACCUGAGGAAGUCUCAGCCUCCUCUCAAGCCUUCCCUAUCCCGAGGCUUUAAAGGGGAGUGUGAGGAGGCUGGGGUGGAGCCCUUGGGCUCCGCUUGGAAGGACCAAGUGCCCACCUCCCCAAGCUGCUCUCACACUGGCAGCUUUGUUCCCUGGAGGCUGCUUUAGCCCAGGAAGGAACUCGGACUUUUGGAUUCCAAGCAGCUCUAGCCCUAGCCAGUCGGAGGAAAAGAGCUCCCUGGGACUGGCGGGGCGGUGCCAGGUGGCCAGGCGGAUGCCGGCGGCCUGGUGCGUGCCUGUGCGCACGCUCGCACGCUCCGGGACCCCAGCCGCGCUGGGCUCGCUGUGCGCGCUGGGGGCGGGGCGGGGUGAGGGGGUAGGGGUUGGUAGCAGCAGCUCCCGAGUCUGGAGUGAGUAAGGGGUGCCCGGGAAAAGGCGCUUUUUUUUUUUUUGCCUUUAAAGGCAAGCGUCUCUGGCAGCCAGCAGAAAAAGCUUUGCUAAGUCAGCUGCCGCUGAUGCAAGUGGAGCUGGCAGGGACUGGGACUGGAGAGCCCCUGAUCCGCAGGAUAUUCUGCAACCCCGAUCCUCACAGGCUGCAGGUACACACUGUGUUGGACUCCUGAAAGUCCUGAUGGGCCAGGGAGGACAGUUUUGUAUGUUUAAUAUUUUCAUUCUGAUUUGCGCAUCAGUUCAUACCACCUGCUCUCAGAGAACUUUUCAGCUUCCCUCCUUUAUCCUUUCACAAGCCCCUCCCCGGCCCUCUGCACACGCUUUCAUCAGGGCCACCACCUGCUCGCCCGAUGCUGGGGUAUAUUGAGGGAACACUUCCUUCCCCCAAUUCUCUCCCGCACCGGGCUUGUCUGUCCAGCUGCCUCCAGGACAGCCCUCUGAAUGCCCCACAGGUACCUGGCCUUCACCAUGUUUAAGUCUAAACUCAUUAUCCUCUCCCGUCCCUCCUGGUCCCCCACUGCAGAGACGGUUCCUCUAUCCACCAAAUAGCCCAAGUCAGAGAUCUGGCAUCUUCCUUGACUCUUCUCUCUCCCUCAUCCCCAAUAUCCAACCAAUCCUGUGGACUCUGCCCUUCCAAAAUAGCACUGGACUCCAUCCCCUUCUCUCCGUUCCACUGGUCCUGUGCUAGCUCUGCUCAUUCUUCCUCCCACCUGCCACCUCCAUGGUCUCUCUCAAACAUCCAGCCAGCACAUGGUCAUUUCCUUGUUUAAGCAUCUUUCCCUGGCACACAACAACGUGGCUACAGCUCACAGACACAAUGUUGUGUGAAAGAAGCCAUAUGCAAAGGAGUGUGAUUUCAUGUGUGCAAAGUUCAAAAACAGGCAAAACUUAUUUAUAGGAUUAGAAGUCUGGGUAUUAGUUACCCUUGGGGGGAUGAAUGACCCUCAGGAGGUCUGGUAAUCAGGGCUGGGACCAAGGUGAGGCAGAUGAGGCAGGAUCAAUAUUACUGAUAUUUCCCUUUUGCCCUGAGCCUUAAUGUGACCCAACACAGCAUUGUUACUAAUCCUGUCUUUAUCUAAAAGUUUAAUAUUUUGUCAUCAUGCAUUUUCUUGCAUUAGUUUUGAUUUUUAAAAAAUAUUGCAUUAAAACGUUAUUUAUCCUGAUGGCUGAGCUUUUCGGUACCCCCUUAAAUUUUACUCAGGAGGUGAGUGUCUCACUUGCCAUUUCCUAGUCCUGCCCCUGCUGGUGAUGUUUUGUAAUCAGAGUGCUGGUGACACGUGUGUGUUCAGUUUGUGAAAACUCAUUGGGCUGGACAAUUCCAGUUUUUACACUUCCCCGUGUGCAUGUUAGGCUUCAAUUAAAAAAAAUUUUUUUUACUUAAAAAAAAUUCUUUCUGUGGUUGCAAGGGAAUGACCGCUGUCUGCUUCUUCCAGCACCCCCAGCACCCAAAAUGGUACCUGACUUCUUCCAGUUAGUUUAAUCCCCACAAGACCUCAGUGAGAUGAGUCUUUUUCUCUCCAUUUUCUAAAAGAGAAAACUGAGACUUAGGGAAGUGAAGUGAUUUGCCCAAGAUCACACAGGUAGUAGGUAUGAGUUCUAGCACCUUGAUUUAAAAAAAAAAACAAAAACUCUGACCUGUAGCACCUGCUCAGUCACCUGGCCCAGCACCAGCACGAGCAGUGCACCAGGACCUGGCUCUUUACCGCUGAGAUUACAGUUAUUUGAGCCGUAUCUUUCCUCCCAAUAAUGACCUCCUUGGGGUAGGGGCUCAGGCAUCCCUGUCUUCCCUCUGUCCAGCGAGUUACUUAAAGCACAGAGAAGAGGCUCUAAAUGUUUAAUAAAUGAAUGAAGCAAAGAACGAACGAGUGAGGAGGCCGGCAGUGAUAUACGGUGGGUGGAACACAGGCUGGGGAGGCAGAUCUGCUAGCUGUGUGUCUUUGGGCUUAUUGCUCAGUCUUUCUGAGUCUCAAUUUCCCCACCUGUAAAAUGGGAAUAAUAUCCGUACUUACCUCAAAGAUUUAGUGAGAAUAGGAAGUGAGAAGAUGACUGUCAGGUGACUGGCGUAUAAUACCUUCUUGAAAAAUGGUAACGAUUGUUACUCUUUCCAGUGUUUCACGUUCUCAAAGCCUGAUUUACUUUAGGGUGGCAGGGAUCGACCUCUUUCGAUUUCCGUGUAUUGUUGGAAGCAGGGGACCUGAUGCAGACCCCAGGAACUUUCCUCCUUGAGCCCACAGAGAGGGCCAGUGCCGGAAUAGUCCGCAAGUCUGGCUUUAGGGCCCAGCUCUACCCUUCCUGUGGUGUCAUCUUUGAUGAGUUGCUUCUUCUUUGUGAGCCUCUCUUUUCUCUCUGUAAAAUGGGGCUCAGAAUAAUCUUGACCUUGUGGGGCUCUGGGGAGGGUUCAGUGGCUUGUCCCUGGGCCUAGUCCACAGUAUGCCUUCCGUUAAGGUUGGCGCCCUGGGGAAGAGCAAGGAGACCAGAGGCUCUCAGACCUAAGAAGUCCAAGGACUGAUGGGUAAAGCAAAUAAAUAAAUAGCCUGGCUGGGCUCUGUUUUGUUCUUAGAACUUUAUUUCUCCCGAGAAGUGAAAUAACAAUGCCGUUUAUGCUGGUACAACUUUUUAACUGUGCAAAACACCUUCUCAGUGUCAUUCCUUGGGUCCUCCCCACACCUUGUGCGGAGGUCAAGACCAGAUUUAUUCAUGUGCCCAUUGGACAGGUGAGGAGACCGAGGCACACCAAGGUUAAAGCCAUUUGCUUGAGGUCACACCAAAGGAGGAAUUGGAUAGCAAAUGGAAGGUGUGAGACCUGGACCUCUUUACCUCCAGAUACCACUAUGCAGCAAUUUGGAGCCAAAAGAAAGCACAGACCUCACCUCCUGAGUGAGCGGCCAUGGCCCAGUCGGCAUCCGGCUACGCGCACUUCCCCCACUCCCAGCCCCACCUGGAUGCCACCUGGCAGUCACAUGUACAUUCAUCACGGAGGAGCCGGCUGACUCACCGCAUUAUACCGGAGCUGACUCACCCUUUAGAAGAUGGAAAGUGAGACACUGAAAGCCUGGAGAAGCCCUCCCUUCCUCACUGAAGCUUGAAACCCACGGCAGCUUAGCUCUUAAGAAAGGGAAAGCACUGGAGGUGGACAUCCCUGGACUCAGAAGGCAGUGGUUCUACUCCACUCUGGGCAGUUACGGGUUUGCUGGGUGACUUCAGGCAAGCAUGUUCUGCUCCACGUGGUAGCCUGUAACCACCACACAAUGCCAGAAUUUACCUGGGACCACUUCAAGGCUGACUCGACUCUCUCCUGGUCUGGAUUCCAAAUUUCUAGAAGAGAGAAGCGGAUUGGCCCAGUUUGGGUGAGAUGUUUGUCCUGGGUCCUAUUGGCUGUGGUUAGGCGGUGGGGUCAUAGAAAACGAACAAGGCUGGCAGGGCUCAUAUCUGUUGUGAGGGUGGGGUGGAGGAGGGUGCAAACACAUGCACCCGUUAAAAAUGUGGAACA